CGGCGGACGGGUGAGUAACACGUGGGUAACCUACCUAUAAGACUGGGACAACUUCGGGAAACCGGAGCUAAUACCGGAUAAGAUAUCGAACCGCAUGGUUCGAUAGUGAAAGAUGGUUUUGCUAUCACUUAUAGAUGGACCCGCGCCGUAUUAGCUAGUUGGUGAGGUAACGGCUCACCAAGGCAACGAUACGUAGCCGACCUGAGAGGGUGAUCGGCCACACUGGAACUGAGACACGGUCCAGACUCUACGGAGGCAGCAGUU
rnacentral:rRNA from 1 species